CUAGAAAAGGUAGUUGGGAGUUAAAAGAAGGGCUUAAGACAGGAAGCAGAUCAACAUAAAGCAGAAGUGUGGAUCUGAGAGAGCCAGAAGUGAAGACACAAGAACAUCAGGACAGAGAACACUGAAACGGAUGCCCUUGAUAGUGAUCAUUUUAAAAUGUAAUGGUCACAGAUGUGAGCAGGAGAAGACAAAAUGAGGGCUGGAAAUGGGACUUUGCUUGGAUACCGGCAUACAUGCAUACAUAUAUGCUCACAUCAGCCUAAAGUGUUAUUUCAGACUGAAACUUACAUCAAGUUAGGUUUGCCUCUAUCUGAUAAUCUCAAAGGACCUUAUCUGAUUAGCAGCUGUGGACUCAAUAGUAGGCAUGUGCAAUCCAGGUACACCGCAAUCUGUUUUGUUGUCCCAGAUUGUUGUGGGAGCUCCUGAACCAUUUUUUGGGAGGACAGAAAUCCAUUUUUGAUCUGGAAAACUGAAAUAUUCCUUUUCUAUCUGGCCCAUUAGUGGCAAUGGGGAGGGAGACUUCCCACAGGUGCCCCUUCCCAUCAUUUUAGUCAUUGUUUGUUCUUAUAUCCUUCAUUAAGACCUGGAUUAAAAACAUCAAACUUAAGAUACAA